AUAUUAUGAUUUGGGCACUUGUGGAGUAACAACUUGAAUCUUUCCCAUGUAUCAGAGAACGAUUCAACAUCUUUCUGCUCAAAACUGGUAAUUGCAACUUUUCUUUC